ensembl:lncRNA
AAGUCUUAAAGGGUAAGACUCAAUUCCUGAGGAGGUCAGCCUCCUUUUCUCCAAGCCCUGCUGUCUAAAAGUACCAAUGGUCCUAAUCUUACUAAGGUUUAUUUCAAGUGCGAAUUUGGCAGCCAACUCUGGAUCCCUACCUCUGCGGUGCCUAGAAGAAAAUAUGGCUGUCUUCUUGUUUGCCAGGGCUACCCAAGGUCAAAGAAUAUCCUAUUACCCAUCCAUACAGCCCAUACACCUCCCCAAGUUCUGGCAAAUGGGAUCAUAUAGUACUACCCGGAGCCCUACAUUUAUUGCUGGUUUUGACAUUUCAUAUGGACGAGAAGAAGCUGUGCCUCAGGAACCCUAGACAUGGAUGGACUACUUAGUCUAUUGGCAUCCAUGUAAUGCAGUACCAGGCCUUAAUUGACCAUGAACUCUCCUAGAGCAUGCAAAAGCAACUGUAUCAU